CACGUAGGGUGCGAGCGUUGUCCGGAAUUAUUGGGCGUAAAGAGCUCGUAGGCGGUCUGUCGCGUCGGUCGUGAAAAACCUGCAGCUUAACUGUGGGCUUGCGGUCGAUACGGGCAUGACUGGAGUUCGGCAGGGGAGACUGGAAUUCCUGGUGUAGCGGUGAAAAUGCGCAGAUAUCAGGAGGAACACCCGGUGGCGAAGGCGGGGUCUCUGGG
rnacentral:rRNA from 1 species